rnacentral:rRNA from 1 species
GUCUCAGGCCGUAUCAGCCUGAAGGCGCCCGAUCUCGUCUGAUCUCGGAAGCUUAAGCAGGGUCGGGCCUGGUAGUACCUUGGAUGGGAGACCACCUGGGAAUCCCGGGUGCUCGGGGCU